rnacentral:rRNA from 1 species
CCUACGGGUGGCAGCAGUGAGGAAUAUUGGUCAAUGGACGCAACUCUGAACCAGCCAUGCCGCGUGCAGGAAGACGGCUCUAUGAGUUGAAAACUGCUUUUGUACGAGGGUAAACGCAGAUACGCGUAUCUGUCUGAAAGUAUCAUACGAAUAAGGAUCGGCUAACUCCGUGACAGCAGCCGCGGUAAUACGGAGGAUUCAAGCGUUAUCCGGAUUUAUAGGGUUUAAAGGGUGCGUAGGCGGUCGGAGAAGUUAGAGGUGAAAUCCCGAGGCUCAACUUCGGAAUUGCCUCUGAUACUGUUCGGAUAGAGAGUAGGUGCGGUAGGCGGAAUGUAUGGUGUAGCGGUGAAAUGCGUAGAGAUCAUACAGAACACCGAUGGCGAAGGCAGCUUACUAAGCUACUUCUGACGUUGAGGCACGAAAGCGUGGGGAGCAAACAGGAUUAGAUACCCCUGUAGUC